CACGGAUGUCUGAAGCAGAGGAAGUCGUAGGAGUGAAAUAGGACAGACCCAGGAGGACACACUGGGUCUGGUCACUGAGGGAUGUGAGUGACAGGGAGGGUGAGUCAGAAUCCUCAGAGGCUUUUGGGAAGCAGCAAGGGUUGCAGAACUAGAACAGGACAGAAGGAAAGGAGAAGGAGACACGGCAUUCUGGCUAUGCUGUAAAAGACAGACUGGGAGGUACCAGUAGGAUCCCGUUCUGCAGCACUCCUGGUUCACCUGUUCGGGUUUACCGAUAAUACCUUGUGAGUGCCAGGCCCGGGGAUAAGAGCUGUGUGGAGCAGCAGGCAGUGGCUGUUCUUUCUCAGGUGGGGUGGGGAAACCGGGACCGAGCAACUCGAAAGUCUAUUGGCUGGAUCACCUACUCACAUCGAGCACCUCUCUCCAUCAAGGCCCAUGCUUAAAUCGAUGCCGAGUCCAGCUCUUCAGACCAGCUUGGUCUCCUUUUCUGUGACCUUGCCAACAACCCCUGCUUCACCUGAGUAGAUAGGUCUACACCGGGAAUCCCUGCGUCCACUUCAGGCACCAGCGUGCUCGCGGUCUCCAGCCACACCCUAUGCUGCUGAGAGAUAGGAGAGAAAGCCAAAGGAACCGCAGAAGCCAGAAGAAGGUGUUGGAUCCCCUGGAACUAAAGUUUCAGACAGUUGUGAGCUGCUAUGUGGGUGCUGGAAAUCGAAUCCCAGCCCCUCUGGAAAAGCAGCCAAUGAACACCUGAGCCAUCUCUCCAGCUAUGCACCCUUCCCCACAGAACUUAAAAGAAAUUUUUUCCACUGGGCUACGGUGGUGCACAGUUUCAAUCCCAGCACUCGGGAGGCAGCUGAGGGUUUAUUGAGCAUGUACUAUAUACCUACCUCUCUGUCUUUGCUGCAACACUAUGAAUUAGAGACAACACUUUCACUCUUAAGGCAGGUGGAUCUCUGGUAGUUCAAGACCAGCCUGGUCUACACAGAGUGCCAGGACAGCCAGGGCUACACAGAGAAACCCAUUUCUCAAGAAACAAAACAAAACAAAAAACCCCAGCCCCUGCCAAAAAACCCCGCUAAUUUGGCACAGAUUUUGAUGAUGGGUGUUACUAACUCUGAGCCAGUUAAGCAAAAUAUUAUCCUCUCCAAGAAUUUCAUUCCUCCUAUUAGUAGGCAAAAAAAAAGUAUUUUUAAGAUUAUGCUAAUUACAUCUUGAAUUUUGUCAGCAUAAAUUUUGUGCAGACAUCAUGUAAGUGCUUACACGGUAAACUCCACUGUACCUUUUAGGGAGCAAGGCUCUGAUAUUUUCUACCUGGCUCUUAACAGAGUGUGGACCUAGAGGCUGCACAGCCACUAUAACUGUGCCAGUUUCCUUUACGGUUAGACAACAUGGCCGGCAGAGGUAUCUGGCAUGGGCCAUGAUGGCAGACAUUGGAUACUGGGUGUGGCUUAUUAGUCAUUACAAAAUGGCUAACACCAGCUGUCCAGAAAACCCCCAAAACAAGCAGUGGCAUACUUUGUUAUGUCACUUUUGUGUGGGUUUUGUGUCGACACGGCCUUGAGGUGGGGUCAAGUGCCUUGGCUUCCCUGACACGAUGGAUUGUAAUCUGAAAUUCUCUCCUCAUUUGUCAGGGUGCCUCGUCAGGGCAAUCAGAAAUGGAAGUAAUGCACAUAUGUUCCCCAGCGGGUUUUAUUGGUAUUUAAGAUUUUAUUUUUAUUUUCUGUGUAUGAAUGUCUGUCAGCAUGUAUGCGUGUGCACCACGCCCGGUGCCCACAGAGGUCAGAAGAUGUCAUCUUAUCUGCUGUGACUGGAACUAGGGGGUGUGAGAGCCGUCACGCGAGGUCCUCAGCAAGAGCGACCAGCGCUCAAGACAUCUUUGCAGCUCCAUUUUCUUUUAAUUUCUGUGCUGCAUUUGGUUUUAAGGGACUGAUAAUGUACAGACCAGGACUUUGUUGUUGUAGUUGUUUCUUCGAGACAGGGGUUUCUCUGUGUAGCCCUGGCUGUCCUGGAACUUGCUCUGUAGACUGACUAAGCUGGCCUUGAACUCCACCUGAUUCAAGAGUGGAACUGUGUUGUUCCUAAUUGAUAGUGUUGCAGCAAAGGCAGAGAGGUAUGUAGUACAUGCUCAAUAAACACUCGCCCACUGAGGAAAUGAAUGAGAACUCGCUCUCACAGCGAAAGUCUGUGCUGUGAUAACCGCUGUCGUGUUAAAAUCUCACACGGAGCUUACAGUGUGCAUGUGUGUGUUUGAGUCUCAGAGACAGUAUGGCCAACUAUGUGACUUUGGGGGAAAAAAAUCUAUACAACUUCUCUGUGUCUUGAGGGUCAGAGCAGCCCCCCUUUUGUAGGUUUGCCUGUAAAUAAAUAAUAUUAGUUCCAUUUUUAAACCCCAUCACCUGUCAUUUCCUUUUCCUGUAUGGUGGGAGUUUGGCUUGUUUGUUUGUUUCGUUUCUUAACCCAGCAUACGCCCACAGUGCUUAACCACAAUAAAUUCUAAUGGCCAGUCUAAGAGGUGGCAGGCACCCCUGUAGCCCCGGACACAACCCAAGAGUCGGAGGCCACGAUGGGACACAGGGUGAGCCCUGAUUCAAAUGAAACAAAUUCCCAACCCUCGUUCCUCACCUGAUGCUUGCGCUUUGGGCUGCCACCAGGCCACUCUUUAGAGUCCUUGGCCUUUGGGGUCUAUCAUCCGUUCUCCAUAUGUCACCUGGCACACACACCUGACACUUUUUUUUUUUUUCCUGUGUGUGUGGGGAAUUAUGCUUAUGUCCUACACGCAUGUUUCCGAGUGUAUUAGGACCCUUCGUCCUGCAUUCUCCCAGGUGGGGGUGGGGGGCAAGUUAAAUGAACCCACGACUAUGUAAACAUUUUAAAAUAACACCUUGUAACCAGAAGUCAUAAAUCUCGAUCCCUCUCCAUCCAGAGGUGCCCGGAGAUUGCUAGCUUAAGUCUCAAGACACGGAGAUGCCUGAAAUGCCACAGGUCCCAAUACGUACUCUCUGUCCUGUGUUUAACCUUCGGCUAUAAAAAAAAAAAAGGAGCUUGUAGCCCUCCCUCGAGGCCUCAGAGUCAAAUAAUUCCAGUUAGCGGUAUUUUCCCCCUGCAGUGUUUUUGAAUAAAGUUGUUUCUAGUUAAUAGACUUUGGUGGUCUGUUCUCCUGCACAAUUCCAGGUGGAAUUCCUUGUGUAAUUCCAGGACCGGCAGUACCCACGACUCUGCUAGAGCGGUCGCCUUGUGAAAGAGUCUAAUUGUUCCCUAACCCACUGGUCCAAGACCCAACAUUCCCCAUGGUGCUUGACCACAAAGACAGUGCAAGGCCUCAAGUCCUUAAGACCAA
ensembl:lncRNA